rnacentral:rRNA from 1 species
CCUACGGGGGGCAGCAGUGGGGAAUAUUGCACAAUGGGGGAAACCCUGAUGCAGCAACGCCGCGUGGGGGAUGAAGGUUUUCGGAUUGUAAACCUCUAUCAGCAGGGAAGAAAAUGACGGUAUCUAACGAAUAAGCACCGGCUAACUCCGUGCCAGCAGCCGCGGUAAUACGGAGGGUGCAAGCGUUACCCGGAAUCACUGGGCGUAAAGUGCGCGUAGGCGGGAGUGCAAGUCAGGAGUGAAAGCCGAGGGCUCAACCAUAGGACUGCAUUUGAAACUGUUAGGCUGGAGUGUGGGAGAGGUAGGUGGAAUUCUUGGUGUAGGGGUGAAAUGCGUAGAUAUCAGGAGGAACACUAGUGGCGAAGGCGACUUGCUGGAACAUAACUGACGCUGAGGCGCGAAAGCGUGGGGAGCAAACAGGAUUAGAUACCCCGGUAGUC